AUGGAGGUGGAUGGCAAGAAGCCGUACGUCAUCGCCGUGAUCAUACAGGUCAUCGCCACCGGCAUGCUCGUCACCUCCAAGGCGGCGUACAACCAGGGGUUCAACACCUACGUCUUCGUCUUCUACCGCCAGGCCGCCGCGUCUCUUCUCUUGCUGCCUCUCGCCAUUGUCCUCGAAAGGAAAAACAUACGGUUAAUCUCGUUCCGGUUGCUCAUGAAGCUGUUCCUCUAUGCCUUAUUCGGGACUACAUUUAGCUUGAACCUGUACAACGUGAGCCUCAAGUUAACAUCUGCUACCGUGGGGUCUGCAACCAGCAACUCCAUGCCCGUGGUCACCUUCAUCAUAGCGUUACUGCUGAGGAUGGAAGUGGUGAAGCUGAGGAGCCCCUCGGGCAUAGCCAAGGUGGCCGGCGUCGGGCUCUGCCUCGCCGGGGUGCUCGCCAUCGCCUUCUACGUCGGUCCGUCCCUGGACCCGGUGAACCACCACCGCGCCUUUGCUGUCGCAAACGGGGAGGCUGAUGCGAAGAGGGGGACGUGGAUCAUGGGCACGUUGCUCAUGGUGCUCGUCAACGUGACGUGGUCCCUGUGGAUCGUCCUGCAGGCCGCGCUGCUCAAGGAGUUCCCCCACAAGCUGCUCGUCACGGCGACGCAGUGCGCCUUCAGCGCGGGCCAGUGUUUCGUCGUCGCGGCGGUCGCCGAGAGGGACUUCUCCCGGUGGCAGCUGGGGUUCGACGUCACAUUGGUCGCCGUCCUCUACACCGGGUUUGUGGUGACGGGAGUGUCGUACUACCUGCAAGCAUGGUGCGCGGACAUGAGAGGGCCGGUCUUCCUCGCCGUGUGGAACCCGCUCUGCUUCGUCUUCACCAUUUUCUGCUCCUCCUUCUUCCUCGGAGAGAUCGUUCACCUCGGCAGUAUCUUGGGUGGAAUUCUUCUCGUUGGAGGUCUGUACAGCGUGCUGUGGGGUAAAAGCAAGGAGAACCGGACUGGGCCAUGUGGUGAGCCGAUUAUGAUGAUCCAUGGCGUGGGUGACGGGAAAUCUGCAGAUGAGGAGGAGAAGAAUGCGAGGAGCAAACAAGUUAACGGGGAGAUGGAGCACGAUAAAGAAGCAACGGACGGCGGCAAGGGCCUCCUCCGUGACCGUGUUCUUCACCAGGCACACCAGCUGCGCGGCUGGCACGCCCUACGCCCUGCCGCGGUGCUCGAGGCACGCUGCGUUGAAGCCGUCCAUGCCCAGCGCCAGCGCGUCCGGGAGCAUGUCCGCCGGCUGCCACAGCUCGUACGUCGGCUUGUGCAGCGACAGCACGUGCGCCUUUGCCCACGGCUUCAGUUGCUGCAGUACCUCCAGCCUCUACGGCGCAAGGUACCUCCUCCGUUCCUCCUCAUCCUCCCGCCGCUCGGCCAUUGGUCCUCCUCUGCUACUCACAGCGCUCCUACACCUCCUGUCCCAAGGGCGACUUGUGUGGGCACAGAGAUGCGCUUGCUCGACGUGUAUGCAAUGAAGGUGUGA
rnacentral:rRNA from 1 species